rnacentral:rRNA from 1 species
GACGAACGCUGGCGGCGUGCCUAAUACAUGCAAGUAGAACGCACAGUUUAUACCGUAGCUUGCUACACCAUAAACUGUGAGUUGCGAACGGGUGAGUAACGCGUAGGUAACCUGCCUGGUAGCGGGGGAUAACUAUUGGAAACGAUAGCUAAUACCGCAUAAUAUUGAUUAUUGCAUGAUAAUUGAUUGAAAGAUGCUAUUGCAUCACUACCAGAUGGACCUGCGUUGUAUUAGCUAGUAGGUGAGGUAACGGCUCACCUAGGCGACGAUACAUAGCCGACCUGAGAGGGUGAUCGGCCACACUGGGACUGAGACACGGCCCAGACUGCUACGGGAGGCAGCAGUAGGGAAUCUUCGGCAAUGGACGAAAGUCUGACCGAGCAACGCCGCGUGAGUGAAGAAGGUUUUCGGAUCGGAAAGCUCUGUUGUAAGAGAAGAACGGGUGUGAGAGUGGAAAGUUCACACUGUGACGGUAUCUUACCAGAAAGGGACGGCUAACUACGUG